rnacentral:rRNA from 1 species
CGGUGUUCAACUGGCGUGUCCGCGGGACGUCCUGCCGGUGGGCUUAGCCCGCAAGGGCGGCCCAACUUCAAAUCCCAUCGCGGUGCUCUUCACUGAGUGUCGAGGUGGGCCGGCACGUUUACUUUGAACAAAUUAGAGUGCUUAAAGCAGGCUAAAACUUCGCCUGAAUACUGUGUGCAUGGAAUAAUGGAAUAGGACCUCGGUUCUAUUUUGUUGGUUUUCGGAACCCCGAGGUAAUGAUUAAUAGGAACGGAUGGGGGCAUUCGUAUUGCGACGUUAGAGGUGAAAUUCUUGGAUCGUCGCAAGACGGACAGAAGCGAAAGCAUUUGCCAAAAACGCUUUCAUUGAUCAAGAACGAAAGUUAGAGGUUCGAAGGCGAUCAGAUACCGCCCUAGUUCUAACCAUAAACGAUGCCAGCUAGCGAUCCGUCGACGUUCCUCCGAUGACUCGACGGGCAGCUUCCGGGAAACCAAAGCUUUUGGGUUCCGGGGGAAGUAUGGUUGCAAAGCUGAAACUUAAAGGAAUUGACGGAAGGGCACCACCAGGAGUGGAGCCUGCGGCUUAAUUUGACUCAACACGGGAAACCUCACCAGGCCCGGACACCGGAAGGAUUGACAGAUUGAGAGCUCUUUCUUGAUUCGGUGGGUGGUGGUGCAUGGGCCGUUCUUAGUUGGUGGAGCGAUUUGUCUGGUUAAUUCCGAUAACGAACGAGACUCUAGCCUGCUAACUAGGCGUAUUUUCGACAUCUCAAAGGUCCGUCGUCCCGGCCCUCGGGUCGUGGGCGUGCGCGAUUUUUACUGUCGGCGUACUAUCAAUUCUUCUUAGAGGGACAGGUGGCUUCUAGCCGCACGAGAUUGAGCAAUAACAGGUCUGUGAUG